rnacentral:rRNA from 1 species
UACGAAGGGGGCUAGCGUUGCUCGGAAUCACUGGGCGUAAAGGGUGCGUAGGCGGGUCUUUAAGUCAGGGGUGAAAUCCUGGAGCUCAACUCCAGAACUGCCUUUGAUACUGAGGAUCUUGAGUUCGGGAGAGGUGAGUGGAACUGCGAGUGUAGAGGUGAAAUUCGUAGAUAUUCGGAAGAACACCAGUGGCGAAGGCGACACACUGGGCCAUUACUGACGCUGAGGCGCGAAAGCGUGGGGAGCAAACAGG